CUGCACCUCAUCCGGAUCAGUACCUCACAAGUCCGCCUACUGUUCUUGCCUCAAAAGGCUUCCUCCUGUUGCUGUGUCUCUUUUGCCUUGCGAACCUUGCAUUUUGGUGCUGUGACUCGGAUUGCUGGGCGGGAGUGGUUUCCGCCCGAGGUGAGACCCCCCCCCACAAUCGACCCAGUGGCUUGUGGAACACAGCAACUCCUUACAGUGGCCCAGGCUUCUGUCCACGAGACCGGCUUGCAUUUUCCUUAAGGCAACCCCUGACAAUCACUAGCUGACCUCCUGGGACUUGUCACUGACGACUGAAGAGGCUCAGGGCUCCUGACCCCUAUCACACUACCUCUGGAGGAGCCCCAAGUGACCAGUGAAGUCACUGGACUCUAGCCCAAGUGGACCAGACCUUUCCAGGUCCAACUGACCACCCAAAAGUGGCAAUACUCCUCAGGCUGCCUACCUGGAUUCAUCUGACCAGGCUCAAAAAGGCUCCAGCUACAGAUCCUCGUGUGUCCCCUUCCUUGCUGGGUCCUCAUUGGAAAUCACCACCCUCCGUCUCACCUGAAUUCCAGAAGAAGCUUCAGACUGACUUAUGGUGUGUUUUUUUUUUUUUUUUUUUUUUUUUCUGACCUAUGUUUUGUUACCCUCUAUGGUUUUUGAUCUCCUUCCUCCUAUUGGCUCCUGCAUUUGCCAUCAGACUCUGGGUCACUCUCCAAAAGACUUUAAAAUAGGGCUGGGGAUAUAGCUCAUCAGCAUAAGCACCUGUCUGGCAAGUGCAAGGUUCCAAGUUUCAGAAGACUUUAAAAUUCCACAAAAAAUCAUUCUCUUGCUCUCAUACUGGCUGAAGAUCCUUGGACUGACCACUCUCAACUGUCUCUCCUAGACCAACAACAUUCUUUGUCUUCUGGACGUCGCCAGUGCCGUUUUGUCCACUUUUACUCAGAUCUCCUUGAUAUCCAUCCACUGGCUGCCUGCAAACCUUGCCCCCUAUAGCCUUUCAACAUGGAUAAACAACAACUAGCUACAGGGAACUCUCAUGGAUUUCACCCAGGACAAAGUCGCCCUCUUCUCUUUUCUUCUAUGUCUUCUUCUCUGGGCCUCAUAAUCAUUCUACUACAUUCUUCCUCUGCCAUGGCCCCAGCAUCAACUUCUAAUUAUACCUUUACUCUUACUCUGGCUGAUGGGAGCACCAUUGCCUCCGCCAACUUCACACCCCCUCACUCCACUCUCCAACUUACUGUUCCUUACUGCCUGCUCCACCCUUCUGCAAACACCUGGGAUGUGACAUCUAAUGGACGAAAAUUUACCACUUGUUACCAAAAGGGCUUUUAUUUGGCACCCCGCCCCUCUAACCCCCACCAGAAAACAUGUUCCGAUGUUACCCACUUUUAUACCUCCAAGUGGGGAUGCGAAACCAUUGGUCUCUAUCAUGAUGGCAGUUCUUGGAAACAAUCUGACCCUCACAUCAAAGUCUCCUUUUCCAAUGCUCCUAGGACUCCAGACGUUAAAGUACACUUUACUAUCAACAAUGCCUCACAUCCACAGUAUCUUUUAGGAAAAACUUGGGGUCUUGCCUUUUACGAUGGGAUUGGAUCAUACUCAGGAAGAACAGGUAACUUUCUUGUUUUUAGAGUACAGCCAAUGGCCCUGCCCCCUCUUCAUCAACCUCCUGGGAGGACCUACCAUUAAACUUCCUGUCUGCCCACCAGAUGCCAUGCCCUAUUCUGUCCCUCAGCUCUUCUCACAUAUACAACACUUUCCAACUCCUCAAAUUUCACAGAAUGCUGGCUUUGUGCUCCAUACCAAUCACUUAUAUAUGGUUUCCCUUGCACAUGGGAAUGCAUCUUACCUGACCCUCCUUUCACACCCCAAAUCAUUGGCCCUCUCUCUAUAACAUACAUCACUGGCCCACCAAUCUCACUUGCUUUAUCUCUUCCCAAAACUCCUCCCCCACAAUAGAAAAUGUCUCCCAUGGUAACCAAAACAUUAUCUUCAAUGCCUCUCUCACCAUCUGCCCCCAAGGGGCUACUUCACAGGUGGCCACAGAGUGCCUACACUUGCCUCCCUCCCUAUUGGAUGGAAGCCCUACCUUAGUUCUCCUUGUCCCAGCCCUAACCUUAACUUCCCAAGAUACUAUAGAAGCCUAGCAAGUGCAGGGUCCUGAGUUCAAUCCCCGGAACCGCAAAAAAAAAAAAAAAAAAAAAAAAAAGUGCUAUAGAAGUGUACCUUUUAACACAACCAUUGGCCACACACCUUACCAGAAAGACAAGAGCCAUUCAUACUCCUGUUCUUAUCGGCAUGGGCAUCUUUUCUGCCUUUGGAGCUGGACUUGGGGCAGGGGCACCUGGAACUGCAACCUUUCUCUCAAUCUUACCCUCCAGUUGGAGGAGGUGGCCCUAUCUGUUUACCCCUCCAAAAUCAAAUCAAUAGCCUGGCAGCAGCGAUGCUUCAAAGUCUCCACACUGUAGUGCCCUACCCUAUAAAAACUCAGCUUGCUGCACCCCUGGCAUGGUCCGUGCUUCAGAAGAUGGCCUGCCAUUCUUUUUUCUUUCUUUUUUUUCAGAACCAGGGAUUGAACUCAGGCCCUUGUGCUUGCCAGGCACU